rnacentral:lncRNA from 1 species
GUGGGGGAAGUUUUUUUCAUAAGGAAUUAUGUGCCAUAGGCACGGGUAAAAAGAAAAAAAAAAGAAAAGAAAAAUGUGAAAAGAAUGCGAAAAGAGUUGAAAAGAAGUGAAAAAGAGUUCUAAAGUGUUGUUUGAUUGAAGAAGGGUCCAAAACAAUGAAUUCGACCCUAAGGAGUUGUUUAAAUAUUCCCCUUGUGUUUUAAAGCUAAUUUCUGCAAUCUAAGUAAAUUCUAAGUCUCAAUUUCAUUACUUUGCUUACUAUCACUUUAAGAACGUUUGUUUUCCUUAUCCUUUCUUUGUUAGCCAAUACCCCAAGCCCCGUUACAACCCUUGACUUCUAUCUUGAGUGUUAUGUGUUUCAAUUUGUGGAGAUUGAACUUGGUAUGAGCAUAUGGUCACUGGUUCUCGCAUCUAAGUAGUAGCAUUCCAUUCAUGAGAUCAUAUCUCAACAUGCUUAUUAACUCUAGAAAUUGUGUUCUUUGUUAUACAUAUAUGUGAGCAUUCGUUUCUAUAUCUACAUCAAUUCUCUCACAUAUAACUAGUAUAGGGUGUGUAGUUAGAAAAUAUGAGUGAAAAUAGAGUGCGUAUCUUGUAAGGAUUGAGGGAAUUCUCUAAGGCAUGUUACUACAUUCAAAACAUUGUUUUAAUUGGUUAAUUGUGAAUUAGUAAGUAGUGACUAUGAUUAAGUAUGUGCUUAAGUGUUAAAUUGACUCAAUUCUGUGGGAAUGAUAAUCUUUAACAUGUCAUGUGCAUUGGAAAUCCCUAAGGCAAAUGUUGGAAGGUUAGGUUAUGUUUUAUUUGUUUUAUUUUGCUCGAGGACUAGCAAUAGCUAAGUGUGGGGGAAUUUGAUAGACGCAUAU